rnacentral:rRNA from 1 species
GGUCCUACGGGGCGCAGCAGUGGGGAAUAUUGGGCAAUGGGCGCAAGCCUGACCCAGCAACGCCGCGUGAAGGAAGAAGGCUUUCGGGUUGUAAACUUCUUUUCUUGGGGACGAAGAAAGUGACGGUACCCAAGGAAUAAGCCACGGCUAACUACGUGCCAGCAGCCGCGGUAAUACGUAGGUGGCAAGCGUUAUCCGGAUUUAUUGGGUUUAAAGGGUGCGCAGGCGGGAGAUCAAGUCAGCGGUAAAAUGUCGGGGCUCAACCCCGGCCGGCCGUUGAAACUGGGUUUCUAGAGUUGGAGAGA